rnacentral:misc_RNA from 2 species
UGCCCCUCACUUGCCAAUACGUCUAGAUCAGCCAGGGCGUCGGCAUGUGUAGCGUAUUAUGUUGGGCUCUCUCGAGAUAAGGAUACGAUGUCCCUUUAUCGGUUGGUUUCCUGUGUGUGCGGCCCGUUCGUUUUUUUUGUUACUUUCGCAUCGUUCGGUGCAUUCUGGGGGCUGUGUUGGCUUUUGGUGGCUUGCUUGGCCUUUUGGCUUUGCUUGUUGCUACUUGUCGGGCUGCUUUCGGGAAUGUCGACCGUGGAGGUGCAUGAGUGGUGUUUGGUUUGUUACGUGUGGAUGGCUGUUUGCUUGUGCAACAACGUUCACGCUGCAUACCUCUUCAGUUUUGCGGCAAGGCUUGGUUUGGCUUGUGCAUAUUGUGGGUUUCCUGUGUUGCAUACCUAGUUGAUGGAAAAGUGUGGGUUUUACGAUUUUCAUUUUCGUCUUGCGUCGUUCUUUUGGCGUGGGAUGAACAAUGAAGCGAUCUUUAUGAUCCAUCGUGCUGUUGCGUUUGCAACAAUGAUGUGGCCUAUGAAGCAUCGUUUGGUCUCUUGUAUACGGAAGCUCAUUUGGGCUUGGGUCUUUAUAAGAUCUUCGUUACGCCCUUGUUAAGCGUUCUCGCUUCUCCUAAACGAUUG